rnacentral:rRNA from 1 species
GACGAACGCUGGCGGCGCGCCUAACACAUGCCAGUCGAACGGAGCUGCGAGAAGCUUGCUUUUCUUAGCUUAGUGGCGAACGGGUGAGUAACGCGUGAGUAACCUGCCCUGGAGUGGGGGACAACAGUUGGAAACGACUGCUAAUACCGCAUAAGCCCACGAUCCGGCAUCGGCUUGAGGGAAAAGGAUUUAUUCGCUUCAGGAUGGACUCGCGUCCAAUUAGCUAGUUGGUGAGGUAACGGCCCACCAAGGCGACGAUUGGUAGCCGGACUGAGAGGUUGAACGGCCACAGUGGGACUGAGACACGGCCCAGACUCCUACGGGAGGCAGCAGUGGGGGAUAUUGCACAAUGGGGGAAACCCUGAUGCAGCGACGCCGCGUGGAGGAAGAAGGUUUUCGGAUUGUAAACUCCUGUCGUUAGGGACGAUAAUGACGGUACCUAACAAGAAAGCACCGGCUAACUACGUG